rnacentral:lncRNA from 1 species
CUGUGGCCACUCUCAGUAAUCUUUGAUAGCAUCCCUGCUUUCAGGCAUAACAAAUGUCCCAGGCACAUCCUGUGCAUUUCUUAUUCCAGACCUGAAAUCAGGCAUUUCUCCAACGAAUGUUCAUUCUUUUUCCUGGAACAUGAUAUUGAGAGACUCAGCAAUAUCUGUUAACUUCCUGUUACAUAGAUGAGGAGUUUGCUCUCUUGUGUCAUUCUCUGGCCUUAAUAGCUGUAUUCUAACUUUGGGUUAAGGCAGUAUUAAUGGAUGACAUUAUUAUGACCACGUAAUAUAAUUCAUUGAAUACCCUCAAGUAAACUUCUAAGAAAACUACAGAUUUGGAGCUUCAAAUGCCUUGGUGAAGUUUCUAAGAACUUGGAUGUCUAAAAAGUAACUUGUGGUUCAAAAAGAGCAAUUAUAAAAAUGGCAAAGCCAUGACCAAUCACAAUCUCUCCUUUGAUGAGACUGUGGCUGAUGCUCUAUACCAGUGAUCCAUGGAUUCCCUGCUUGAUUACACAGAACAGGGCAGGAAAUUAUCCAACUUGCAAGAGAAUGCUAGCUGAAAAUCGUCCCAUCUUAUGGAAAACCGGUAGAAAAUCCAGGAGGUGAAAUGGAGAACAUGUUCAACUGGAGAAUUCUAUUUCUUAUGCAUGUCAAAUAUGUUUCCUUCUCCUGCACUAGCUGUUCCUUCUGCUGGAAGAAUAUUUAUAUGACUGGCUAAACUUACUGUUCAGAUCUGAGAGUAAAUUUGCAUUUCUCAGAGAGUUAGUUCCUGACCACCCAACUCAAAGUACUAACACUCUAUCUAGUCCUUUUCUUGUUUGUUUUUCAUGUUUAUUUUAUUUCCCACCACUAGAAUCUAAGCUUUUUGAGAGCCGGCACUUUGUCCAUCUGGGUCACUGAAUCCCAAUGAGUUAUUCACAGAUGUUUUUAGUACAUAGUAGGUGAAAUGCAUAGAUAAUAUUUCAACUAAGAAAGUGAACAGAAGAAAGUUGGUCAUUGACUUAUUACUAGUAGCUCACUACUCUCUAUGUAUGAAGACAUCACUUACUGAUGGUUAUGAAGCAGAUGCUCAAUAAUUUUUUUUUAAUAAACAGGAGGGCAAGGAGCCAAUGUCGUUUGUAGUGGAGGGUAGUCAUGGACACUGAGAGUAUGUUUUAGACACAAUUUAUCAAUGGCCAGCCUCAGGCUGAGAUAAAAUAUAACAGAGUUUGCCAAGGUCUUUCAUGCCCAGGCAGUCAGUGCUCACAUGUUCCCUGUAACUGCCUGGGUACCUUUCCCUGAGUCAUCAGUCCUGUGUCUUAAUUCUUUUAGUAGCACCUGCAUUCUGCUCCUUUAACCUUCCAUCAAUCAGCUCUUAUAUACUGUACAUCUCUUUCUCAAGAAGCCUUGUGCAACGCAUGGUGAUUUCAACAGUGAUGAAUAUUUCCUUCCCUCUGACUUCUUAUGAAACCAGGAUAAUGAAGCAAAUUAGAAUGUAUUUUAACAUCACUCUCCCUUGUUUGCUGUCCAGCUAAUGAACAGUGGACUGGCUGAAGAAAGACCAGCAUGAAGCAGAAAAAUUGUUUGGUGAAAAAUUCAAGAAUGGGCCAAUAUCCAUUAAAAGAUUGAAAGAGGAGAUGUUUUGGGUCCACCUCCACUGGGGACAGAAAUUCCAUUCUGCCAACACCCCCUCCAUAUCCAUUGUCUGAAAGAGGCACUGCUGUUGAGUCAUAAGUAGGCUCCAGUGGCCCAUGUUGACCCUUUGAAAUUCCCAUGGGACUGUCAAUUCUAUCUAUUCUGGGAGCAGCCAACCAUAGCUAAUUACAGGCCUGUGGUAUUAGUGGAACAAGCUUCAGCUUUUUACAUUGGCUUGAUGGAGAACUGAGUAGAUAUAAAAGUGUUACAUGUUUUUCUGUAAUCAUAAUAACGUAAUCUUGUUUCAUAAUCAUUAAUAAUUCCUAACAUUUAUUGAAGAGUUAAUAUGUGUUGAGUAUUUUUGUAAGUGCUUAACAUGCAGUUUUUAAAAUUUUAACUCCUUUUUACAGAAAAGGUUUACAGAACGCCAGAGGGGUAGGUGAUUUUGCCAGAGCUCUUUUAGGUAAUAGGAAACAAAGCCAUAAAUUUGAUCCCAGCUAGUUUGACCCCAUAGUCCAAGCAUUAAUCCCUGAACCACACUAGCUCUGGCAAGGGUAUAAAUGAGCAGUGAUUACUAACUGACUUAAAACACAAUAGGAAUUAUCCCCAGUGAAUUCCAACAUAUAAAGGGACACUAAUUCUUGCCAUAGAAAAUCUAUUUGAUAAGUAUGAACAAGAAUUCCAAGGUUAUCAAAAAUAAUUUCUAAUAGUUUAAUUCUUUAAAAGAAAUGGUGUAUCUCAUGGACACAGGAAGGGGAACAUCACACUCCGGGGACUGUUGUUGGGUGGGGGGAGCGGGGAGGGAGAGCAUUAGGAGAUAUACCUAAUGCUAAAUGACAAGUUAAUGGGUGCAGCACACCAACGUGGCACAUGUAUACAUAUGUAACAAACCUGCACAUUGUGCAAAU